UACAUUUUUUUUUUUUUACAAUAUGACAACACAGCUUUUAAUCUUUAGCUUUUUAUCUUUAGCUUUUUAUUGAAUCUAAAAGAUCUGUGGUAACGUGCCAUGUACUGUAGGGUAAAGUACCAGUGCAGCUAAUUUAGUUAUAUUCAACUGACCGACCAUCACUCCCACCUGCUGGCAGAAUGAAAUGUUUUUAAAUGAAAUGUGAAAAUAUGAGGUUGUGAAAUUGUCUUUGGAUUCUCAAAGAGUGAUUUUUUUUUUGUUUUUUUUUUGGUUUACAGUUUAAAAAACAGGACCUUUGACACUUGAUUACCAUCUUACAUAACUUAAUUAAAUAUUAAAGUUAUUAUAGGAUCCAAGUUAUCUAUUUGUACAACAACAACACCACUGAGGGUUCCAUAUUCUGGGAUUGCACGUUAUGUAACACUCUUUGUACCGACUUAAUUGAUUAUUGAGAUAAAAAAUAUUAACAAGACUAUUGUAUCUUGAGAUAUAUCUUGAUUUUGAUACUGUAAAUAAAAUUGAAGUAUA